GGUUUUGAAGAGUAAGGGCAUCCACAAACCAUGAGGACCUUCCCCUCUCUCGUCGUCUCCCUCCCUCGUUGACUCAUUCCCCUGAAAACUUACUGCCGUACCCUCUGUAGGUUCCACUCGUCUUCCUUCAUGUCUCGUCUCACUUGAGAGUAGAGACGUUAAUGUGUAUGGGAUCUUGAGAUUGAAGCACAAGUGACGGAAGAGGUAAACCGUAAAACCAACAUUAUUCAUUACCGAUGAUGUCCGGAGGAAAGUGAGUUACACAGCUUAUUGGGAUACACCAACAUAUAUCACGAAAGAAGAGAUAAGAUAAACAAAAUCGUGGGAAGAGUGAAGGGGCAUAAGCCAUAACUCAGAAUGGUUGUUCUCUCAGAACUUUCAGUUUCAGAAGGAUCUUCAUCCUCUUCAUCAACUCAAACUCAUAGAUAUGACAUAUUUUUAAGCUUUAGAGGUGUUGACACUCGUCAUAGUUUCACUAAUCACCUUUACAACGCCCUCAUGCAUGCCAAUAUCACUACCUUUUUGGACGAUGAAGAGAUUGAAACCGGGGAAGAUCUAAAACCAGAAUUGGAGAGUGCCAUUAAAGCAUCUAGGGCUUCUAUUAUCGUGUUGUCCAAAAAUUAUGCUACUUCGACGUGGUGUCUUGAUGAACUGGUGUUGAUCCUUGAGCAACGUAUGACAUCCAAUCAUAUUGUCAUCCCCAUCUUUUAUCAUGUUGAGCCCACCCAUGUCAGGAAGCAAGAAGGUAGCUUUGGAGAUGCAAUGGCUAAGCAUAGACAGAAGAUGGAGGCAGAGUCAAAUUUAAAUAAAAGAAGUCAAUGGGCUGAAAAGAUAGAGCUUUGGAAUAAAGCGAUUAGAGAAGUUGCUGAUUUAAAAGGGAAGGAUGCAAACGGCAGGCUUGAGGUGGAGUUUAUUAAUGAAAUUGUCAAGGACAUCUUCCGUAGAUUACACAUAUCAUCAAGGUUUCCAUUACCACAACUUAUUGGGAUGGAAGUUUCCAUUUCAUUCCUCACUUCAUGGUUGAAGGAUGCAUCGUCGCCUACCACAGAUAUAGUUACUAUUUUAGGUAUUGGUGGGAUCGGGAAGACGUCUUUAGCCAAAUAUGUCUACGCACUACAUUCUCAUGAAUUUGACACAAGCAGCUGCAUUAUAGACAUAAGUAGGCGAUGUGAUAAAAAGUAUAAUGGAAUGAUUGAUGUACAAAAACAACUCUAUGCUGACAUUUCCAAACCAAGUUCGAUAGUUCAAGUUCAUGAUGUUUCUAUAUACACCUCAAUGAUAGAGAAAGUACUAGCCAAUAAAAAAGUGUUUCUAGUUCUUGAUGAUAUUGGUAGUCUUGACCAGUUGGAUGCGUUAGUUGGAAGCAAAGGUUUUCGGCCAGGAAGCAAAAUUCUAAUAACAACAAAGGAUGCAUGGUUGACACAGAGUUGUUCACUAUUCAAAAUGAAAAUUAAACCCAGAUAUGCAGAACACAAGCUUGAAGGCUUAUCUACUACUGAAUCACAAAAACUUUUGUGUUUUCAUGCAUUCAUGUGUAAUAAUCCCAAGCCAGGUUAUGAAGAGGUGUCUGAAAAUCUUGUGAACUAUUGUGAAGGACAUCCAAUGGCUCUUGAAAUUUUGGGUAGGUCUCUACAUAAUCGAGAAGUAACUUAUUGGGAGGGUUACAUAGACAAACUAAAGAAAGAAAAUGAUUCCCCUAUAAAUAAUGUGUUGAGAAUGAGCAUUGAUUCUUUGGCAUCAGAGAGUGAUAAGAACUUAUUUAAGUAUAUUGCUUGUAUCUUUAUUGGAAUGGAUAGAGAUGUUACUAGAACAAUAUUAGAGGCAUGCGAUAUAGAAACAAAAACUGGGAUCACGAAUCUCAUCGACAAAUGCCUUCUUAGUGUUGGAGAUACUAAUGAAUUGAUGAUGCAUCAAUUGGUUCAAGAGAUGGGAAGAUUUUUGGUACGUGAAGAAUCACUUUACAAGCCAUGGGAACGAAGUCGAUUAUGGGGUCAUGAGUCAUUUAGAGUAUUGAAACAAGAAAAGGGUACGGAAAAUGUUCUAGGACUCACUCUUGAUAUGAGAAUGCUUGAGAAAGAGAAGUUACAUGGAUCACUUGAGUUGAAAACAGAUGCAUUGAGUAAGAUGGAUAGGCUAAUGUUGCUACAACUCAAUUAUGUGCAAAUCAGCGGCUCUUACAAAAAAUUUCCAGAAGAAUUAAGAUGGUUGUGUAUGCAUGGAUUCCCUUUGAAAUAUAUACCUUCUGACUUAUCGAUGGAGAAUUUGGUUGCUCUUGACAUGUCAUAUAGCAAUAUUGAAUCAUUGGAGAUUUGCUAUAGCUAUCCACAACGACUUCAUAAGAGGCUAAAGCAAAUGAUUGGAUCGUGCUCAAAAGACAAAAGAUUGCUUGGUUCGUUGAAGAUUCUUAAUUUAAGUUUUUGUGAACAGAUUCGUAGUCUUCGUGGCUUUGACCACCUCCCUAAACUUGAGAGGUUAAUACUCAAAGGGUGUAUUGGUUUGCUGGAGGUUUGUGAAUCAAUUCAGCAAUGCCUUGAACUUGCCCUCAUUGAUCUAAGCUAUUGCAAGAAGCUGAAAAAACUUCCAAAAAGCUUAGGCAAAUUAAAGAAAGUUAAAACACUAUUGUUAAACGGUUGUCAUCUUGGUGAAUCUCAAAUCAGGAUUAGGGAUAUGGAUUCCUCAGAAAUGCUCAAGGCAAACAAUAUUAGCAUAAACACUAUAACCUCUUCCUCCACUGUUGUGGAGGUUAUGCCAAGUUAUUCAAAGUUCUCUGUGAUUUCUUUACCAAGAUCUUUAGUGAGCUUAUCACUUGAGAAUAAUAAUUUGUCCUCUGAAUCCUUUCCUAUGGACUUCAGUUGCUUGCCUAUGUUAAAGGAAUUAACUCUAGAUAAAAAUCCUAUUGUUUCCCUGCCUAGUUGUGUGAGAACCCUUCCUAGGCUUGAGAUACUUAGUAUGAGCGAUUGUAAAAUGCUGACAACAUUUGAGCAUCCACCACAUACACUCACACAUUUGAACCUUUAUUCUAAUAAGUGUUUUUUACGAAAAGUUGUAUUUGAUCCACAAAUGUCCCCACUCAAGUUAGCACUAGGACGGAGGAUCUUGGUACAUUCAUCAUCUGAAUUUGAAGGCGUGAUCAAAAUCCAACCAAUGGCAGGUGUUGAGGAAAAAGUAUUACAUCGUCUGGGCUGGACUAAGCUAGAUUUCCUGAACGGAAGGCACGUGACAACUUCUUCUACUUAUGGGGAAUCAGAGGAAUCUGAAAUCCAGAUGUAUUAUGAAUUUGGAAUAUUCAGCACAAUUUAUGGAGGCGAAGAAAUGCCGAAUUGGAUUAUAGAUAGAAGCAUGGGGCCAUCUAUAUCAUUUACCAUCUCAUCAUCUACUAACAAGCUCACUGGAUUAAAUUUCUGUUGUGUGUUGGCAUCUCCAUUUCCCGAUGAGGGGCUUGGAUUAGUAGAUGAUGUCCUCCUAGAUUUGCCGGUGAUCAAAAUUAAUAAUAUAACAAAGAACCUCACCUGGAUAUACGACCAUUACAUUGACAGUGUACUUGAUGUCGGUGGAAAGUGCUUGACAUUGUUAAGUCAUUGGAUGUUUGGGAUGAAUGAGAUGGAAUGUGGUGACCACGUUACUAUUAGGGUGAUGUGGGAACCAGAUGAUAUUGGUGAUGCAGUUAUCAAGGAGUGUGGGGUUGGUUUUGUAUAUGAUGAUGGCAACAUGGAUGAGAAACAAGAUGUGUUGGGUUAUUACAAGUCAUGGAAUCACAUUAUUGGUCGAGAUCUCACCGGAUUUCAAACAACAACAGGAGAAUACAUCCUAAACAAAGAUCGAAUUUUGUGGCCUGGCCUUGAUAUAGUUCGACUAAACUAUUAUUAUCUAUGUGGAGAAGGCGCCCACUUUAUAGAUAACGAAUUUUACUUCAAAGCCUUGUCCUAAAGGAAGACUGGUGAACUUGAGGAUGGCCGCUGAGUCUUCUUUCAGGUUUAUUUAUGUUUUCUAAUGGCAAUGAAGGUGCUUUUGGUUUUGGUGUUGUCUUGUCCCAGAGAGUUGGAUCUACAAAACAUGCAUGUUCAAAAUUUUUACAAUGCUAGAGGCAGUGGCGGUGUUGUUGGAUUUCAGGUCAACAUUGAAUAAUAAAGACUUCAAAAGUUAAAUGUGGACAAUAUUUGUUGGAUUUAAUUUUGGAUGGAGGUAGUACAAUAUUUGUUCAUAGGCAUAUGGAAUAAAACCUGCAAACAUUGAUUGUCUUAUUCGUAGCCAAGGCUCUUAACAGCAGUUCACUAAAAGUGUAAAGGAGGAAAUAUACAUGACUGUAUUUUAAUUUCAAAAUUCUCUACAAGACUAUAUCGUUCACUUU